AAUAACCUCGAACAAGCUUGAUACUACCCUCACAGCCUCACUCUCUCACGUGGAAAGCACUCUUCCUUUUUACCAUACUCUCCUUCAUUGCAAGAAUGUUAUCAUUGUUCUCAUUUUCACCAAUAAUGUUAAGGUAUGCUCUUCAAAACCCAAAUUCUGUUUCCCACUCUGCUCUCCGUCAUUGCUUCCCUUCAACUUCAUCCCUACACUCUCACUCUCAUCCCCAAUCGCUUGAUGAAGCUGUUGAUUCCUUCACUCGCAUGCUCUCUAUGCGUCGCCCUCCAUCCAUCAUCCAAUUCACCAAGAUUUUGGGAUCUCUUGCCAAGACCAACCAUUUCCCCACCGCCAUUUCUCUUUUUCAGCAAUUGCAAGCCAGGGGAAUCGCUCCCGACUUGUUUACUUUGAGCAUCUUAAUCAAUUGUUGUUGCGGCAUGGGCCGUAUGAUGCUUGCUUUCUCUGUAAUGGCCAAGAUUUUCAGGAUGGGUUUUCAGCCUGAUACCAUAACAUUGACAACAAUCCUGAAAGGUCUCUGUCUCUGUGGUAGUGUUGAAAAAGCAGUGCGCUUUCCUGACAGAGUGCUGGCUCAUGGAUUUCACUUCAACCAAGUCACUUAUGGGACCUUGAUCAAUGGCCUCUGUAAGGCAGGACACACAUCAGCUGCUAUUCAAGUGUUGAGAAAGGUCCCACGGUAUGGCAUUGUUCCUGAUGUCUUCAUGUAUAGCGCAAUUAUUGAUAGCCUCUGCAAGGAUACACUUGUAAGUCAGGCUUUUCAUUUAUUCUCUGAAAUGCUAGCUAAGCGAAUUUCUCCCGAUGUUAUCACCUACAACGCUCUAAUUUAUGGAUUGUGUCUUGUGGGUCAAUAUAAGGAAGUCAUUGAUUUGUUAAGUGAUAUGGUGCUUAGAAACAUUACUCCAGAUGUUCAUACCUAUAGUAUUUUGAUCGAUGGGCUACGCAAGGAAGGAAAGAUCAAACAUGCUAAGAAUGUGUUGGCUGUGAUGACAAAACAUGGUGUGAAACCAGAUGUCGUUACUUAUAACUGCUUAAUGGACGGAUAUUGUUUGGUUAAUCAGGUGAAUAAGGCAAAAUAUGUAUUCAACACAAUGGCCGAGAGUAGAGCGUUUCCUAAUGUUCGGAGUUACAAUAUCAUGAUUAAUGGCUUUUGUAAGAGUAAAAUGAUCGAUGACGCCUUGAAUCUCUUCGAAGAGAUGUGUCGCAAGAACUUGGUUCCUGACACGGUAACUUACAGUACUCUAAUUGAUGGCUUGGGAAAAUCAAGGAGAAUCCUUUGUGCCUUGGAGCUUCUUGAAAAGAUGCAUGAUCGAGGUCAACCCGCUAAUAUAGUCGCUUACAGUUCUUUGAUGGAUGCUUUGUUCAAUAUCAAACAACAUGACAAGGCACUUAUGUUAUUCAAUCAAAUGAAAGAGAGUGGCAUUGAUCCGAAUAUAUAUACAUACAACAUACUUAUAGAUGGCCUGUGCAAAAGUGGAAGAAUUAAAAAGGCAAAAGAGAUAUUUCAAGAUCUUUCCAUUAAAGGCUAUCGUCCAAAUGUGCGGACAUACACCAUUAUGAUCAAUGGGCUUUGCAAAGAGGAUCUGCUUCAUGAAGCAUUGGCACUCAUGGCAAAAAUGGAAGACGAUGGUUGCUUACCAAAUGCUGUGACUUAUGAAACAAUCAUUCGUGCUCUGUUUGAAAAAGGUGAAAAUGAUAAAGCGGAGAAACUUCUUCGUGAAAUGAUAUCGAGAGGCCUAUUGCAAGGAUAAAAGUUGUUAUACCCGAAGCAUAUUGUACCAAAGCAAUCAACUUGAUAAAAAAAAGUUACUGAUUCAAACUUCAAAGCCAAAUGAUUUUGACCAAACACUAGCCUCUUGCGCAAUCUCCAAGCACCCCAAAGAGUAGCAAGAAACAUUUGCACAGGUGGAAAUAUAAAAUAACUAGUUUACAAGGGCAAGCAGUAGCAGAAAGCCAUUGGAUUUUAUUCAGAUGCCAUUAAACUAAGCAGCAAGAAUGCAACAUACUACAGUAAUAGGGCCCAAGCAUCUAAGUCUUUAUGUAUUAGAAAGCAUCUAAGUCUAGUAGGUAGAUACUGAAUAUUACUAGCCUAGACUAUACAAGAUGUGGGUAUUACGUUGAUCAUAUUGGAUUGAAAAUUUGAAAUGGCUUGACAUUCACAAGUUCAUUUCCCUGACAUGCACAUAUGCAGCUUGAGGCAGGUGUUGUGCAGCUGUUUGUGUAAGAUCAAGCUUUGCACUUUUAGUUUUGUUCCAUUUAUAUCUUUGUACCCUUGAUUGCUGAGAUUGUUAAUUUAUCCAUCAGUGGCCUUCAUUUUUGUACUUAAAGAUUGAUUAAUAAAUAUGAUGAUAGUUGCUGAAUGACAAUUUUAAGUGCAUUUAGGUGAGGGAAUGAUGAGGAGUUUAUGUGAAUCCAUUGGUGGAUAUCAAAGAUUGGAAGUGUUAACAUCACAUGCUGAUGCUGCUGCUGCUGGAAUUGACAUAGUCGAUGCAUUGCCUUAAUUUGUUGUUGUUAGUGUCUCUGCAACGGCUUUGAUUAGUUCUUGUAAUGCUUUUUCACUUGUCUCGGAGGGUAGGUAUUGUGAGGGGGAGAAAACCUAACCUCUAAUUUGUUCUUAACCUUGAUUGAUGAACAAAUCGAACCCUAGGUAUUGUGUGUGCAAAA